UACGUAGGGUGCGAGCGUUAAUCGGAAUUACUGGGCGUAAAGCGUGCGCAGGCGGUUCGCCAAGUCAGGUGUGAAAUCCCCGGGCUUAACCUGGGAAUUGCGCUUGAAACUAGCGGGCUUGAGUGUGGCAGAGGGGGGUGGAAUUCCACGUGUAGCAGUGAAAUGCGUAGAGAUGUUGAGGAACACCGAUGGCGAAGGCAGCCCCCUGGGUCAACACUGACGCUCAUGCACGAAAGCGUGGGGAGCAAACAGG
rnacentral:rRNA from 1 species